UGGGGAAUAUUGGGCAAUGGGCGCAAGCCUGACCCAGCAACGCCGCGUGAGGGAAGAAGGUUUUCGGAUUGUAAACCUCUGUCGCAGAAGACGAAGGAAGUGACGGUAUUCUGUGAGGAAGCCCCGGCUAACUACGUGCCAGCAGCCGCGGUAAUACGUAGGGGGCGAGCGUUGUCCGGAAUUACUGGGCGUAAAGGGAGCGUAGGCGGUCUGAUAAGUUGGAUGUGAAAUACCCGGGCUUAACUUGGGGGGUGCAUCCAAUACUGUUGGACUAGAGUACAGGAGAGGAAAGCGGAAUUCCUAGCGUAGCGGUGAAAUGCAUAGAUAUUAGGAGGAACAUCGGUGGCGAAGGCGGCUUUCUGGACUGCAACUGACGCUGAGGCUCGAAAGCGUGGGGAGCAAACAGG
rnacentral:rRNA from 1 species